rnacentral:rRNA from 1 species
GCCUACGGCCAUACCACCCUGAACGCGCCCGAUCUUGUCUGAUCUCAGAAGCUAAGCAGGGUGGGGCCUGGUUAGUACUUGGAUGGGAGAUCCUCCUUCCUUUCUGCACUGCCAUCGUCU